CCCCUCUCAGGGUCGCAUCUGGAGAAUUUCCAGGACUCUACCAGUCUCGACUACCGGAGGGAAACUCAAGAAGAGGCCCGUCCAUUCCAUUCCUAGCUUGGGCAGUGGCUAGCGAGGGGAAGGCAAUCUGCUACAAGU
rfam:Ornithorhynchus anatinus chromosome 1, whole genome shotgun sequence.